CUCGUCUGUCGCUUUUGAAAUGCGGCAGGCUGUCGCCGGCUGGUGGAACGCCAAUGCUGUUCGCAGAAGAUGCAAAGCAACAAAGACAUCCGCGGCAUCCGAGGCACCUGCAGCUCGUGCGACCUCCUCGAGUUUUACGGGAAUGACAGUGGAGGUCUUCUGAUGCCAGGGUGGUGCCUGUAUUGCGGGCACUCUCCAACAACCCACGCUGCACUAGAUCUACUCUCUACACACUACGUGAUACUGUGCAACCAGUGGGGCAAAUUUCAUAUGGAGCACCUGAAAUCGUUCAUUCCGAAGAUGCUCUCCAUACGUUUGAGGAUGGACAAGUUCACAGUUAAGAUGUUAACAGGGAAGUGAG